rnacentral:misc_RNA from 1 species
AAAAUGACUUUUUUUUUUCUUUUGUUGUUUGUUUAACAUUGAAAAUUAUUUUCUAGAGUCUUGAUAAACAAAUUACUUUCAAUAUGUAAAAUUAGGAAAAAGUUUGUACAUACAGAAAUUUAUAUUUUUUCUAUUUUAUUUGAGUAGGACUAAAAAAUUAACAUGAGAUAGGGGUGAACUGUGGUUGUCUCUUGCAGCCAUUGAUGGUUACUGGGUACUGGUAAUGUGUUUAUUUGGUUCUGUUAAACACCUGCUUUUUAUGAGAUUGUGAAAAUCUGGGAUAUGGCUUCUUAAAAUAUAAGUAAAAAUUAUUUUUCCCAUUUACUCAUCAAAUCACUAAUCAAUUCUCUGAAGUGCCUCAAACAGUAGAGUUGUGGAAAAUAUUUUUAAUGAAACUGAAAAGCCUCCAAUCCGAGGAAAUUGAUGCUGCAUUUACAAUGUGUAAAAUUUCUGGUGUGCUUUCAUUGUUG